UGGGGAAUAUUGGACAAUGGGGGCAACCCUGAUCCAGCAAUGCCGCGUGAGUGAUGAAGGCCUUCGGGUUGUAAAGCUCUUUUGGCAGGGACGAUGAUGACGGUACCUGCAGAAUAAGCCCCGGCUAACUUCGUGCCAGCAGCCGCGGUAAUACGAAGGGGGCGAGCGUUGUUCGGAGUUACUGGGCGUAAAGGGCGCGUAGGCGGCUUUUCAAGUCAGAUGUGAAAUCCCUGGGCUUAACCCGGGAAUGGCAUUUGGGACUGGAAGGCUGGAGGACGAGAGAGGAUGAUGGAAUUCCCAGUGUAGAGGUGAAAUUCGUAGAGAUUGGGAAGAACACCGGUGGCGAAGGCGGUCAUCUGGCUCGUAACUGACGCUGAGGCGCGAAAGCGUGGGGAGCAAA
rnacentral:rRNA from 1 species